rnacentral:rRNA from 1 species
GGACUACCGGGGUAUCUAAUCCUGUUUGCUACCCACGCUUUCGUGUCUCAGCGUCAGUUGCGGUCCAGAGAGCCGUCUGCACCACCGGUAUUCCUCCUGAUAUCUACGCAUUUCACCGCUACACCAGGAAUUCUACUCUCCCAUCCCGCACUCGAGUCCUCCAGUUUUCGGCGCACCCUCCCGGUUGAGCCGGGAGAUUUCACACCAAACUUAGAGGACCGCCUACACACCCUUUACGCCCAGUAACUCCGAACAACGCUCGCUGCCUACGUAUUACCGCGGCUGCUGGCAC